CCUUUUGGCUAAGAUCAAGUGUAGUAUCUGUUCUUAUCAGUUUAAUAUCUGAUACGUGAGUCAAUGACUCACAUGAUAUUAAAUUACUUUUUUAAGGGGGAAGAGCCGCUGCAAUAGCUUGCUAUUGGGUUCUUCAAGCGUCGUCCAUGCGUUGCACUAUUGCAAGGACCCGGCGCACCCCACUAACUCAGUUCAUCGGGAUAUUCAGAUUUUACAAGCGUACGCGUCUUAUAUCAAUAAGAAAAGACAUCACAAGUUCAUGAAUCAUCACAAGUUCUCGUCAACAACUUAAUCAAACCAUAUCUAAAUCUCUUAUCCCACACAUAAGAACCUUUUUGCAGAGUGAAAAACAAGCACUCAGGUACGAAAUUUAUGAAGCUACCACAUAAGCUGUUCAUAGUCAGGGUAAGCGACCUCAACUUUUAAAUGUAAGUCUCACUCCCACAUUGCGUAUUUAUAAUAUACAAUUCGUCUCUAUAUAUUGGCUAUAAGCAGCUGUCAACCACCGGGCUUGGCAACGCGGGCUUGUCACCCAAGUGGGGGCAUUAAAAUGGUGGGAGGUUGGAUAGGUCCAAAAGGUUGAGCUGCGAAGGGAUUAAAAUCUGACCCGCCCGUUC